rnacentral:ncRNA from 1 species
UUAGUUUAAUCCUGACUAUUAUAUUAGUAUCAUUAAAAAACCUUAUGCUAAAUUUUGGUAAAUCAAACAUAUUAAAUAUUCAGAUAUAAUAUAGUUAUAUAAUAUAUUUAUAUAGCAGAAGUUGAAAUUAUAAUAAUGCGUGAAAGCGUGAAAUGGUUAAAAUAACUUUAUUGGUUCAGUUUGUGCCAGCAACAGCGGUUACACAAUGGAUAUCUAACAAUUAAAAUCUGUAAAGGUAAAAUACAUAUAAAUUAAAAGUAAAAUUUCUUUAAUCUAUAAAGUAUUAAUGUUACCACUAACAAAUUAUAAACUAAAACAAGGAUUAGAUACCCUUUUAUUAUUAACUUAAAAUAAGAUUGGAGACUAUAAGCAAUAGCUUAAAAACCUAACAAUUUGGCGGUGUUUUAUUCAAUCAGGGGGACCUGUACUUUAAAUCGACAGUCCACGUUAAACUCUAUCUAAUUUUAAUAUUUUAGCUUGUGUACUGCCGUUUAAUAGACUCUUUUGAAGCUUUAUAAGAAAUAUAAAAAUUAUAAGUCAGGUCAUAGUGCAGCUUACAAUUAGACAGUAUAUGGGUCACAUUUUUAAAUAUAAAAGUAAAAUUAUAAAAUAAUUUUUAUAGUAAUUAGGACUUGAUAGUAAUUAUAAAAUUAUUUAUACUAUAAUGAAUCUGAACUUAAAACAAGUACAUAUCGCCCGUCACUCCUUUAUACAGGAUAAGUCGUAACAUAGUAGAUGUAAUGGAAAUUGCAUCUGU